rnacentral:rRNA from 1 species
UACAGAGGUGGCAAGCGUUGUUCGGAAUUACUGGGCGUAAAGGGCGCGUAGGCGGCCCGCACAAGUCUGCGGUGAAAACCCCCGGCUUAACCGGGGGCCGGCCGUGGAAACUGUCGGGCUGGAGGCUGGGAGAGGGCAGCGGAAUUCCCGGUGUAGCGGUGAAAUGCGUAGAGAUCGGGAGGAACACCGGCGGCGAAGGCGGCUGCCUGGACCAGUCCUGACGCUGAGGCGCGAAAGCUAGGGGAGCAAACAGG